AUUGAACGCUGGCGGCAUGCCUUACACAUGCAAGUCGAACGGUAACAGGUCUUCGGAUGCUGACGAGUGGCGAACGGGUGAGUAAUACAUCGGAACGUGCCCGAGAGUGGGGGAUAACGAGGCGAAAGCUUUGCUAAUACCGCAUACGAUCUCAGGAUGAAAGCAGGGGACCGCAAGGCCUUGCGCUCACGGAGCGGCCGAUGGCAGAUUAGGUAGUUGGUGGGAUAAAAGCUUACCAAGCCGACGAUCUGUAGCUGGUCUGAGAGGACGACCAGCCAGAGUGGGACUGAGGACCGGCCCAGACUCCUACGGGAGGCAGAAGUGGGGAGUUUUGGACAAUGGGCGCAAGCCUGAUCCAGCCAUGCCGCGUGCAGGAUGAAGGCCUUCGGGUUGUAAACUGCUUUUGUACGGAACGAAAAGACUCUGGUUAAUACCUGGGGUCCAUGACGGUACCGUAAGAAUAAGCACCGGCUAACUACGUGCCAGCCGCCGCCGUAAAAC
rnacentral:rRNA from 1 species